rnacentral:rRNA from 1 species
AUUGAACGCUGGCGGCAUGCCUUACACAUGCAAGUCGAACGGCAGCGCGGGAGCAAUCCUGGCGGCGAGUGGCGAACGGGUGAGUAAUACAUCGGAAAGUGCCCAAUCGUGGGGGAUAACGCAGCGAAAGCUGUGCUAAUACCGCAUACGAUCUACGGAUGAAAGCAGGGGAUCGCAAGACCUUGCGCGAAUGGAGCGGCCGAUGGCAGAUUAGGUAGUUGGUGAGGUAAAGGCUCACCAAGCCUUCGAUCUGUAGCUGGUCUGAGAGGACGACCAGCCACACUGGGACUGAGACACGGCCCAGACUCCUACGGGAGGCAGCAGUGGGGAAUUUUGGACAAUGGGCGAAAGCCUGAUCCAGCCAUGCCGCGUGCAGGAUGAAGGCCUUCGGGUUGUAAACUGCUUUUGUACGGAACGAAACGGUCUUUUCUAAUAAAGAAGGCUAAUGACGGUACCGUAAGAAUAAGCACCGGCUAACUACGUG